rnacentral:lncRNA from 1 species
AUAAAAUAAAAAUAAUAAAUGAAAGAAAUUAGGAAAAUAAAAUAAUAAUAAUAAAGUUUCAUUAAUCCAUUCCAACGAAUUCUACCCAAUUUUCAAUCCAUUCUUCCCAAGUUCUCGUCCACUUCCACUCCUUCCUUCUCCACCGGCCUCGACGUGAAGUUGAGCUUCUCAGGGACGUCUCGAUCUACCGCUCACUGCUUAGGGACGAAUCGAUUCUACAUUUGACAUUUCCAUCGCCACCGGCCUCCAACAUUCGAGCAUUGAGCCCUAGAUGCAGGUCACGCACUCACGCAGCCAGUAGCAACUUCGAGCCCUAGAACACGACAGCCAGCAGCAGAGCUUGGAGUCCAUAUUUCCACUGGCGAUUCAACGGUAUAAGAAGAAGGUGAAGCCCCCUGAUUUGUGUUUUGUGUAUUGCUGCAAUUUUUUCUAUUAUUUAACUUUUUUGAUUUGUGUUUUGUGUUUUGACAUUGUUGUAAUUUUUUCAUUUUAACAUAUGAAAUUAGUCUUGAAUUGCUAAAUGAAUGCAUUCUGUAUUUGAUGAAGCCCUUGAGUUCAAUUUGGUGAUUCCUGUCUUGUCCACUGAUGACUGAUUCUUGAAGCCUAGUUGUUCAAGUCUCGAUUUACUCUGAAAUAUAUAGGUAAACAAAUGUAAAUCAUAUUGGUCUCUCGUUUAAUAGUCACUUACAAUCUUUGAAUUAGGUUUAUUGUUUCUGAAGUAGGCUCUAGUUUUUGAAUUAACCAAUGUGUACCAGUUGGAAAUGAAUCUGUUUUGUGCCUCUUCGGUGUUAAUUUGAGGCCAAUAACAAGGCCAAUUAACCAAUUUCUUGUAGGCUAAUAUAAGAAAUUCUGAAGAUGUUCCAGGAAGAGGUCAUUGUAGGAAAAAAAUAUAAUAGUAAUGCUUUUUCACAAAAUGUCGCACGUUUUAAAUAAAAAUGAUAUAAAGGAGGUGUUGUAUGAUUUUGUUUCGCAAGUGUACGAUCCGUAACAAGUAAUAGUGGACCUAAGAGUCCGGUUAUCGAUCCCACGAGGACUAUUUUGUAGCACUUAAUUUAAUCUUUCUUUAACUAUUAUUUGACGAAUGUAAAUCAAAAACAAUGAUUAAAUGUGAUUUUUACUCUAAAGACUUAAAAAUGUGAUUGAAUUCAAUAAAAAGUGAUUGAGAAUUCAAACAAUAAACGGACGUUAGGGCGGAACAAUUUCACCGAUUGGUCACCUUUACUUCAUAAAUCAAGAUUCGUAAAACCUAAGGUAGUGUUCGGUCGAAUUCUUCUAUUGUAUUCAAUUUACCCCUCUCGAGUUCUCAUUGAGCCUACUUAAUUAGUUUAAUUCCAUAUAUCUAUGCAAAUUAAAUUUAAUUAAACGAAACAUUGGUUCUAAGAAUUCACACACGAUCGCAGCAAUCAAUAUAGGUAUCUCUACACAUUAUAUCAAUUUACCGGAUUUUAACAUGUGGUCUAAACAAAUAAUCCGCAUCUCUACACAAUCAUUGUUCACAAAUCAUCUAAUUAGUGAUCAAGUAAUUAAAUGUAUUAAGAACAAUAUUAAAAUCAACACAUGAAAUAAAAAAGUACUAGAAUCUCAAUUGCAUGAAAUAAAGGGUUCCAAAAGAUUACAUUGUUUGCCCUCACAUGAAAUUUAACUACUCAUAAUAAUGGAAGAAAAAUAGGAGAUUGUCUUAGAAUACAUCACCGAGUUUGGAAUAAAGAUGUAGAAGAAAAAGUGGAAUUCUUGCACCUAGAUCUCCUUCCUCUUCCAAUGAGUGCUUCCAAUCUUCAAUUCUUGGUGUUAAUCUUCUUAAAUUUCUCCCUUGAAUCUCCCUUCUUGUUGUUUUUCUCUCAAAUAUGUCAAGAACCCUUCAAAAGUAUGAGGAGGAUGUAUUUAUAGGUGCCUCCACGUUUUUCUGUUGAAGUAGGGUUUCUAUAGCUUUAAAAACGGCCCAAAAAAAACGCGCCCUAAAUCGCCAAUCGCAACGCCUAGGCGCUACAAGACAGCGCCUAGGCGCUGGCUGUAGCGCCUAGGCGCUGGUGGUAGCGCCUGGGCUCUAUGGUUGUAGCGCCUAGGCGCUGCCUCUCGGGUCCAAUUUUCAUCUUUUCUUCGUUUCGUAGCGCCUAGGCGCUAUAAGUGUAGCGCCUAAGCGCCAUCUUUCUACCCCAAUUUCGUGUUUUUGGCCUCUUCAUCCACUUUAAUACUUCUUUUCUCAUUGCUUCUCCUUAUCUUCAAAACAACACUAACAAACACAUCAAAAACGUUCUACACUCAUAAAAUCUAGUAUUUAAUCAAGCUAAAAAUGUGCGAAAACCAUGAGUGAAACAAACUCAUCAGGAGGCUCGUAAUUCUUGAGAUAUGUAUUAUAUGUCAGAGAGUUGUGUUCAUUUCCAAAUGGAUGGACACAUUUUUUGUUGAACACGGGGUCUGCAUUGGUAAAACAAAGAGUUAACAAUUGAAGUCACUUUAUGAAUAUGCUUUUUGCAUUUUAGAAGUAAAUCGAUAAAGCCCAGAACUAAAUUAUUGUUUUACCUCUAAUCCUGAUGAUGCGGCAAGCCUUCGGUCGUACUCCGGACCUUCCUCUCUUGCCAACCUCCCUCUUGUUUCAGCCUUUCUCGCCUGUAUUGUCGCUCAGGUUCUCAAGCCCUUCACUACCUGGUACUCUUUCUUUCCUCUUGAUCUUUCUGUUUACUUUAUCAUAAAAUAAAUGUUGAAUAUUUAUGCAUGGGCAGGUCAAUUUUAUCAAUGGAUCUGCGUUGAUUAAAUUGUGAGUUUUCACAUACAAUUGCGUGUUUGAUUUUACCUCAUUUGAUCAUAUUUUGUGUUGUUGGGCCCCUAUUUGAAGAAGUAUUGCUAUAGAUUAGCGUGUGUAAACAUUGAAGGCUACUCAUUUUCACCAGCACACUUGCUUUGAGUUUUUUGGAGAAUAGAGUUUCGUGUGUCUAUGUGGGUUUGUGAAAUAAAGAAAUCAAAAUUAAGUAUAUGUUUAUUAUUGGAAGUCAUGGAUACAGAGAUGUUAAGACUAUGAUUCCAUAAUACCAAGUGAUUUUCAUUGGAGGUUGUGGUGCCUUCUAGUCAAAUAUGCCAGGUUUUGGAGCUGUAAUGGUGUCAUGGAGCUAUUGAAGUUUAAUGACUGUUAAAUAGCAUAAGUACACUUGUAAAUAACUGUGUUCCUAUGGUUCAUAGUAUGUUUCAUAAACUGCAUAUGAAUGCAUAACCAUAUAGUCUUCUAUGUUUUCUUAUUCAUCUUUACACCAUUUAUUGUACAGUAGCUUAGGCACUUGUCUUGUUGAGCAGGUCACGAUGAUUAUAAUAGAUUAAGACCAUUGAGCUAUCGUGGGGCUGAUGUCUUUAUUCUUGCAUUUUCUCUCAUUAGCAAUACCAGCUACGAAAACAUCUCCAAAUUUUGUAAGAGUGGCUUUACCACUUUUGUAUGAAUAUUGCCCUUUGGUGCAUUCCUUUCCUCUGCAACAACAAGAGAAAAGGCUCAAACAGCAUAAUGCUUAUGGUUUUUUGUACGCUUAUCUUUUGAUGUUCAAUGGAUUCUUGAAUUGAGGGAUUACACUCCUGGAGUUCUAGUAAUUCUUGUUGGAACAAAGCUUGGUUAGGAUUUCCUCCUUCCCUUUCUCUUGUUAUGAUUUUAUAAUACUUUGCUGCUCUGUUCUUUUAUAUGAGAAAUAGUGGUAAUCUAAAUAUGCAAUCAACUAGAAAUAGCUCUCAGUUUUCCUUCUUAGAGUUGUGAUCUGCAAGUGCAUUAGGUAGUGAGGAGUAUUUAUCUUCAAGACUUUGCCCAACUAUUCUUUUUCUUUUAUGGAAUUUCAUCACCUUGAACAUCAUGUGAACUUGCUUUUUUUUUUUUUUUUUAAAAUUUUUGUUAUAGUUCUCUGUAUAAGCUGUCAUCUUUAAUGUAGAUAUAUAGGCCUUAUGAUUAUGUUCAAUUUUUUCCUCAGUUGCUAUAUAUUGCACAAAUCGUCUGGAUAGGUUGUCCCUAGCUUUUGGAAGUAUUAUUAUAAUUUUUUACUUGUUAUUCCUUUUCUUUUCCUCCCAUUUCGCCAUCGUCCUCAUUUGUGUGAGGUUUUUCAAGUCCUGUGCAUUUAACUAAGUGUGGCUUUGCUGCCAUGAUUGUCCAGGUUAUUACCAGAAUUCCUUGCUUUGCCAAGUUUUCUAUUCGGGCAAUCUAUGGGGGGAUCAAUGGCUCUGAAGGUGCACCUGAAACAAUCUGAGUGUGUUGUUGCAGUUUGAGUAGAAUGUGAUAACCAGAUGUUGCUAGAUGUAUAAGCUGUAUUAAAAUUUUAUUCUUAAUUUUGUUUCAUUUUGAAACUUUUUUUUUUUAUUUAGGUUGUGUUGUAUCACAUUCUAAUGUUCAAGUGUAUGGAUC